CAAUAAAGUUGUCUUAACUGUUGCAUUUCAAAGAUGGUUUGGUUUCCCCAGAACUGCAAGGUAGGAUUUUGCUACCUACUGCAUAAUUUCUACAAAUCACUGAUUCUCAUCUCAAUUUCCUCAUCUAAAAACUAGAGGUAACAAUAGCUGAGCUACCUUCCUUAUUAGGUGUGUUGGGAGGAUUCAGUGAGGUCGCAUGUUUGCUAUGAGGUAUCCCAAGGUGGUUCUUGGUUUGCUUUGGUUGUAUCUGAGUGGGGAGACUGAGCAGUGCCAUUGAGAAAACUACCCUUCGCCCUGGGUCAUGGCAGAAAUGUGGGGCCUUGGACACCAGCUGUUCCCCAGGAGGUUUUCCCAGCUGCUGCUAUGGCCAACUCUGUGGUGGAGGAGCCCAGGGGUGGGGGAUUCCAAGAGCAGACAUUCCAUGUAGGAUGGAGCCAAACCAGGUCAAAGGCAGAACAGUUGAACUAUUUGGGAAACAGAUAUGAAUGCUGAGAGCACUUGUUUGCACAAAUAAGAAGGUGGAAAUGGAAGGAAUUUUAUGAUGGCAAUUUCUCAAAAUUCUUUGAUCAACAGGUGAAUUUUAUGGCAGAAAUUGUAAUAGUAUUUUCUUAUCAAAAUUAUUAUUCAUGAUCUGUCACUUGCAUCUUGAUGAGGUUCUCCUUCAAUUUUGUUGACAGCUAAGAAGUGGAACUACAUGACUUGCAGAAGAAUUUGUCACCCAGUUCUGAGAGCAUUUUAUUGGGAGAGGCAAUCUGCCAUGGACCCUGAGUUUCCCUGCAUAUCCUUGCUGACUAUGCCAAGAAGACAAGGCUCUGGCUGCUUUUUAUCUGGGCCAUUUCUCAGGGCAGUGAGCUACCUUGAGAUGAGGUAGCAUUUCUACCCAGUCAAAGAGCAAGCUUGCUUCUGCUUGCUAUAAAAGUGUUGAAUCCCCCAAGCUCAGUGUGAUACAAAUCCACAGUGUAGACAGCAUGCAUCUAAGUCCAUCCAUCUUCUUGUGUUGCCCCCAUGGGACUUGAAUGACAUAGGAAACCAAUUCGAACAAUCAUCAUGCCAGGCUUCUUGCUGUGCCAAGAGUAAUAAAGGCCAUAGUCUCUGACCCACAAGUUUCAUGUCUUUUCCACCAUCCAUGAAACCUUAACAGACUAGUUUAUUAGCUUUUAAGUAGGAUAAAAUCCCAGAUCCCUCACAGACCCUGACAUAGUUAUGUUUUUAAUUUCUGGGGAGAAAACCAAGAAGGUAGUACCAUGACUCAUUAAAUGACUGUUAAUUGUAGCAGUUACUCUUCCACGUGGAGCUAUCUUGUUUACUAUAAUGCAAUCAAAGUGUUAGAAAAACCUAAAUAUUAUUAAUUUCAAUGCAUGCUUGUCAAUAUGAUAUUUUUGAAAAACACUUUGAAAAUCUCAUCAUGUACUUUAAAUAUAUAUUCAUCAAAAAUUUGGAGCCAUGGGGGCCAGCAUGGUGGUGUAACAGUUAAGUUCGUGUGUUCUGCUUUGCUGGCCUGGGGUUCCCUGGUUCAAAUCCCAGGCGUGGACACAGACACCACUUGUCAAGCCAUGCUUUGGCAGAUGUCCCACAUCUAAAAUAGAAGAAGAUGAGCACUUGUUAGCUCAGGGCCAAUUUUCCUCAGCAAAAAGAGGAAGAUUAGAUCUUAGCUCAGGGGUAAUCCCUCCCCCCUCCAAAAAAAUUUUGCAGCCAUAGAUUUAGUUCAUUCAAUUUUUAGGAGUAUUUGCCAGUAUAACCUGAUUGGCAAAGUCAGUCUUUAUAGUCAAACCAAUCAGCCAGAAUAAACUUAAAUAAACUUAUUCAAUGCCACCUAUCUGUCUUUAUUAAACAUGUUAAUACACCUUUUUGGGAAACUCAUUUUAUUUCUGAAUGCAACAAUAAAUGGGUAUUAUCUCAAACAUCUCAAAAAAGAUGGAAUUCAGUGUCCCUAACUUUGUAGCAUUUGCCAACCUAAAGGAAACAUCCAACGUUCUGUGUAAAUUCAGGCUCAACAUUUUGGCAACUCAAGCUUGUUCAUGAAUAAAACAAGUUUCAUUAAGGUUUAAAGCAUGGAUCUGACGAAAGAAGCCCCUUUCAUGCCUGGCCAUUGUGGUAGCUCCACAGACAGACUUUUCUAUUCACUCUCCCCAAAGAAAGCCCAGUCAACACAAAUAAAAGUAGGAAAAUUUGAAAAUCACUUCCCCAGUUACAAACCUAGAAAAGUCUUUGAAUGCUAUAAUUUUUAACAAUAAUGCUGUUUCCUGUGCUGUAAUGGGGGAUAUAAAUUAUUAAUUGGGAAUGGUUGGAAAUAUCCCUAGAUUCAUCAAACUGUAAGGCAAAUAUUUUGUUUACUGCAAUUUUUGUCACAAUCUGCUCAAUGACUUUUUGGUGAUUUUCCAGGAUAUCUGAACACAGCAUCAGUUUAAUUGCAGGAAUGCUGUUUCCUGAAUUCCUGAACCACAUAUUCACCUGCCUGCUGAAUAUCUUCCUCUACGUUUCCAAUAGACAUCUCAAACUUGAGAUCUUGAGCACUCAACUCC
rnacentral:lncRNA from 1 species